rnacentral:rRNA from 1 species
UACGAAGGGGGCUAGCGUUACUCGGAUUGACUAGGCGUAAAGGGCGCGUAGGCGGUUUGUACAGUCAGACGUGAAAUUCCUGGGCUCAACCUGGGGGCUGCGUUUGAUACGUGCAGACUUGAGUUCGGAAGAGGGUCGUGGAAUUCCCAGUGUAGAGGUGAAAUUCGUAGAUAUUGGGAAGAACACCGGUGGCGAAGGCGGCGACCUGGUCCGAUACUGACGCUGAGGCGCGAAAGCUAGGGUAGCAAACGGG